rnacentral:rRNA from 1 species
UACGUAGGGCGCAAGCGUUUGUCCGGAAUUAUUGGGCGUAAAGAGCUCGUAGGCGGCUUGUCGCGUCGGUUGUGAAAGCCCGGGGCUUAACCCCGGGUCUGCAGUCGAUACGGGCAGGCUAGAGUUCGGUAGGGGAGAUCGGAAUUCCUGGUGUAGCGGUGGAAAUGCGCAGAUAUCAGGAGGAACACCGGUGGCGAAGGCGGAUCUCUGGGCCGAUACUGACGCUGAGGAGCGAAAGCGUGGGGAGCGAACAGG